rnacentral:rRNA from 1 species
AGGUUCCCUCAGAAUGGUUGGAAAUCAUUCAUAGAGUGUAAAGGCAUAAGGGAGCUUGACUGCGAGACCUACAAGUCGAGCAGGGUCGAAAGACGGACUUAGUGAUCCGGUGGUUCCGCAUGGAAGGGCCAUCGCUCAACGGAUAAAAGCUACCCCGGGGAUAACAGGCUUAUCUCCCCCAAGAGUUCACAUCGACGGGGAGGUUUGGCACCUCGAUGUCGGCUCAUCGCAUCCUGGGGCUGUAGUCGGUCCCAAGGGUUGGGCUGUUCGCCCAUUAAAGCGGUACGCGAGCUGGGUUCAGAACGUCGUGAGACAGUUCGGUCCCUAUCCGUCGUGGGCGUAGGAAAUUUGAGAGGAGCUGUCCUUAGUACGAGAGGACCGGGAUGGACAUACCUCUGGUGUACCAGUUGUCGUGCCAACGGCAUAGCUGGGUAGCUAUGUGUGGACGGGAUAAGUGCUGAAAGCAUCUAAGCAUGAAGCCCCCCUCAAGAUGAGAUUUCCCAACUUCGGUUAUAAGAUCCCUCAAAGAUGAUGAGGUUAAUAGGUUCGAGGUGGAAGCAUGGUGACAUGUGGAGCUGACGAAUACUAA